rnacentral:lncRNA from 1 species
AAGUAUCAUAGUUGAACCAAACACAUCAAUCUUAAAUAUUAGUUUAUAUGAGACAUGGUUACAUAGGAACAUAUUUCUACUUGAUGCAUGGUUAAAAAUCCCACCCUCACCCCUCCUGUUGACUAAGCUAAUAAGUAAAGAUGUUUAUUAGGGUCAAGUUGAGAGCAUUGGAUUAUGUAGAUCAUGAUUACAUAGGAGUUAAGUUGUGAGCAUUGGAUCAUGUAGAUUAUGAUUACAUAUUAUAUAUUUCAAUUAACCAAUAUAUUUACGAUUUAUUCAUUGUCCAAUCUUGUUUGAUGGUGGCAUUUAAUUAUUUGUUUUACUUUAUCGACAUGCACUUUCAUUACUUUGCACAACUGAAACAUAAUGAGUCCAAACCACUUAGAUAGUGUGUUAGGUCAUUGAUAUUUAUAAUACUCCUUUUUGUAUCCAAUAUGACUUACAUGUUAGUAGCGACCAAGUAUAGAUAGUCCUAUAGUCCACAUUUGUAAUGGAGUCAAUUGCCAAAUCUUGUUAAUGUAGUGCUUGAUUUAGUAAGGAUGUGCAAAACUUGAGUUCUUUGCUUGAUGCAAUUAAACUAAGAUUUGUACGAUAUAGAAGAUCUAAGGUACACUCAUAAUGAAGAUCUCCAUGUUAGCAUGUAUUUUCAUACUUUAUCUUCUUGGCAAUCAAACAAGAAUGAAUGAAUGAAUAUAUUCCUAGCUACUUCCUCAUCCUAUGCGUUAAUCUUAUAGGUCAAUAUAUAGUUAAACUUUUAUGCCCUUGUGAUUUUCAAUCAUAAGUUACAAGUAUGGUGUAGUUUGAAAUAUUUUUCUAGGGGGAUUAACCAUGUUUAACUCAAUGUGAAUAAAUGUGUUUAAGAUAUAACAAGAUGCCUUUUAGGGAUGAAUUACACUGGUUAAGAUGAAAUUUAGUUUAAUACUCUUACACCUUUCUUAUCAAUGUGUUCAAAAGUUUUACAAUCCAUUAGUCAAUAUAAACAGGGAUGACAAUGAUAUAGUUGAGAGAAAUGCAUAAUGUUAUUUUGCCUACUAUGCAUGAGUGGGAGACAAUGGAGUUUCUAUUUCAUGAGAUACUCUUAGUAGGACUUCAUCAACUAAGAACUUGAGAGUAAGUUGCAUACUUAUCAAUUAAGAUUCCUCAUGGGAGGAAAGUUUAGUUAAGAUUCCUCUUGUGAGAGAAGGUUCAUAUUUAGAUUUAGUAAGAAUCUGUAAGAGUUGUUUGUCUUUUUUCAAUUCCAAUUCUAGUCCUUUUGCAUGUUUUCAAUUUAGUUUGUGGCAGUUGUUAAAUACUUCUACUUUAGUUUUUAGCAAUUAUAAUUUUUUAAAGCUUGCUAUUUAGGUUUAGAUUUAUUAUAUGCUUAUUAGAUAUCUUAAUUCCUAUUGUAUUCUCCUUGGUUAAUAAUCUUCCAAUUUGAUUGUGGAGUUCAAAGAUUUUUACCAAAAUAUGGAUCAGGGUUUUCAAAGUUAGGAAAGGUAUUUAAUAGAAUUAAUUUUUGAAUAAGUUUGCAAGCUAAAUCUUUCAAUUGAACCUAAUGAGUUUACAUACUAAAUCUCUCAUUUUCAGCCUUGGUUGUUUCCACUCUUUGCAAUUUAAUUAGUUUUUCUUAAAUAUAUAUAUAUAUAUAAUUCAUUUUUUGUACCUAUAUACUCGAGUUUUUGAGUAAUUAUGAGUUGUAUUGUUAUAUUUAGUAGAAUUUGACAAACUAAUAAUGCUUACCUUUGAACAAUCGAGUCCAAUAGCCCAUUUGUGUGGAUUCAUAGCUAUCAACUUGAUUCUCCAUGCCUCCUCUAUUAGGUUGACCAAGAGAAUGGUUUAAUUUCACAGGAACACCUUAAGAAUAAAAAUGUCAAGAAAAGAGAAGGAAAAUUAUGCUUCGUCUAAUUUGACUGCAAGACUUUUAAAGGAAAAAAACAUAAUAAUAUAACAAUUAUUAUAAUGAAUAUAAUAAAAAGAAAAUUUGUGAUGUUCUUCCCAAUACUCAUAAAACCCCUUUCAAUGAAACUUUGUAAGCUAUACUAAUACAAAAUAAUGGUCCAUAUGGUAAAAGCUCAAUAAAUGAAUGUUUGAUAAAUUAAUAAUCUUACUUAUAAAACAAAAUCUUCUAGUCUUAACUCAGGCCAAUGUACUAAAUUAGUAAUCUUGCUAAAUACAUAAGAUAAAAAUAUUUUCAAAAAUCUUUAAGGGCUCAAGAAAUAUAAACUAAUAAUUGAUGAAGUAUAAACAAAAAUUCAUAGUAUAGCAAAUAGAACUUCAUAAUAUAGUAUUAAGUAAUUUUUUAUUACUUUUAUUUUUCUAAAUUCACUUCUUUUAGAAUUAUCACAUAUUUGAAAUAGCUUGCUCUUUUACAACAUUAAGUUUUGAUGCCACGUCUUUUUUGGGGAGUCUUUUUUUCUUUUAUAAUCAAUAAAUUUUUUUUUUCUUUAGUCUCUUAGGUUUCUAUGUAUCAACUUUUUACCACAUGUAUUAUUUUUAAAUUUAUAAGUCAUACAUGUACUAAUAAUGUACAGUAACAACAUAAUACUCUUCAUCAAUUAAUAAAUAUUCAUUUAUCUAUAAAUCAAUAACCUCGCUAAGAUCAUAAUUUUUCUUGGUCAUAAGAGUAUUAGUUUAUAAGAGUUUUUCUCUAUAUAGUUCCUUCAUUGUAGGAAUUUCUUUAGGUUAAUAUUACUAAAGUUGUAAUUUAAAAAAACAUAUAUAAUGGAAAUUAAGAGAAAUAUGAAAGCUAUAAAUUAGUGUUUUAUAUCAUUCUUUUUUCCUAUGAAUGCCAAAGCCAUUGUCAAAUAAAAAGUUUAAAUAAAGUAAUUAAUCAAGUAAUUAGUCGAAAGCAAAAUGGGUGACUUAAAACUAUUGCUUUGGUACAUGUUUGUUUGGGGUAUAGUAGAUCAUAAGAAAUAAAAUCCUCUAGCUAUGUUUAUUUGAUAGAAUAAAAUAGUGAGUGUGUGGUUGCUCUACAGGAGAAGACCACACGUUAGCCAAAGAAUAAGUAACUAGAAAGCUUACACAAGUGUUAAAUUAUCAAUUUCUCGCCUAAGCACAUUAAGGAGAACUAAAUGUUGAAUUAAACCAUACUCAUGCACCCAUACUAAGGCUCAUGCCUCCAUGUGGGGAGACCCUAAUUUCUCCCUUAAAGGGGAAGUUUAAAAGUGGCCACAUCCUCUAUGCCAUGUUAGUAUUCCAAAAACUUAGAAAGUUAACCUUUGAGCUGAUGCUUAUUUGUCUGGUAGUUUCCUCAUUCUUCUUACUAACUUGACCUUUGAAGGCUCUACAACCGUAAGGAGCCUAGAGUAUUCACUUUAGGUUUCGUAUGAUUGUAAGGUCCUAACCAUCCAUUGAAGUAAGAAAGUGAACUAAGAGUUGGAAAUGGUGAAGAUACAAAAAUUCAGCUCACCAAAAAAUCAUAGUAAAGCUACUAAAAAACACCUCACCCCCAGGCAAGGACCUUCAUUUGAGUACUCCUUGAGGUCCACCCAAAUCGAAGACCUAACGUUGAAGAAAUAAAGUCAACUAAACUUGGUUCCAUGCAUGAUAAGGUUGAAAAGGUUGCAUAAAAACCUACAGAAAGCUUCCCUCUUUAUAAGAAUAACCUGAACCUACAAGGGAAGAAAACCUAUAAAAGGAAAUCAUAAGCAACAAAGAAAAAAAAUUCCCUCCCUCAUUUGAAAAAGAUUUCUUUGAAUGUAGAAACCUAUUUUUUUGUAUCAAGAAACCUUCCUUUGUAUCCAAAAAUUGGUGGAAUAAAAAUUUUCGAUUAUCUAUGAAGAGUUUUAGCUUCUUCAUAUGGGAAUGCAUUAAAAUUCUUGAAGACAUUGUUUAGAUCUAUAGCAACAAUUGGGCAAUAGAAGACUAUGCAAUAGAGUCUUGGUAGGAAAAGCAAUCAUGACAGAAAUGAAGUGGAGCAAUGAGUGAGAGCAAACCCUUCAAUAGAUGGAGGAGCUCACUAAAAGAAGUGACUAACUCAUUCAAGAAAAUGUUUCCUUCAGGGUAAGGAUAGACAAAUACCAAUGUGAUUUUGACCAACAGCUCUCAUUGGCAAACACCAAUAAGAUGCAAAUUAAUGAAUAAUAGUUAUCGAAGCAGUUAGACCAACAUAUAGAUUAAAUUGGGAGAGAAAUGUGGGAGAAACCUUAAUUAAACUAACCAAACAGACCACUUUGCCAAAGGCCCCAAUGCUCUAAGGGCUUCUUGCCACCAGAGCUACCACAAAAUGCAUAAUCUUGGUGAAUAAGGUGAUUGAGCCCAAGUCCCUUUAGGAGGAGAAGGAGGCCAUAUGAGGUGAUUGAGCCCAAGUCCCUUUAGGAGGAGAAGGGGGCCAUAUGAGAGUUUUACCUCCCUAAGUUCAAUUUCUUUCAAUGAAACUAAAGACACACUAGACUACUCAUGCAUUUCUAAGCAUAUGAUGAUCUUAGAGAAGGGAAAUGGUCGACUUUUAUGUAAAAUCUUCUCCUCCAUCCUCCAAGGACUAACUUUGUUUUGUCUUUAUUAACUGACCUUAGAGUUUGUUCUUGAUAUUAAGACCCUAAGGUUGAAGUCUACCUCUUAGUACAUUCACUUAAAAAGACAAAAGAAAAGCCUCAAAUAACCCAAGGUAGUUAUAGCUACCAUCCAUGGUAGAUCAUCUACUAGAUUUGAGCAACUAGGUAGGGUAUCAAGAUGUUAUAGAAGCAUAUGGCAAUUGAAGCAAAAUUCCUCACAUCCUUGCAUGAAGCAACUACCACUUGCCCACAUGUCAUAUGUUUCUCUAAUAAAGACUUAAGAGGAGUCCAAAUCCUACUCAAGAUCCAUUGGUUAUUACUUUAAGGAUUAUUGACUACAACAUGCACCUAUUCUUAGUUGACAUAACAAGUUUAGUUAACUUGCUAAAUAUAUUAACCCAUAUAUGAACAAAUGAAUAUGGACGAAGGAAAACUAGUGUCAAGUCUUCGGUCAUUGGUGGGACUAGACAAAGUCCUAUGUGGCUCAAUUGGGGAAGUUGCUCUAAUGGUUCCAAUUGGUUGUUUCCAUAUAAUGACACAAUUCUUUGUUAUGGAUAUCCUUUUCCCGAUAAUGCUAUUAUGGGAUGACCAUGGAUAUACAACCUAAGAGGAACACUAUUCACAUACCAUUACAUCCUUAAAUUCCUAAUACUAUAAGGAAUAUGGGAAAUAUAUCGGGACUAGGCGGAAGCAUGAGUAUACUACACCAUAGCCCUUAAAGUAGUCAACAAGUGCAUCAAGUGGGACCCUUAGGAAGUUCAUAAAUCAAAAGUCAAAUACAAAUUAGUAGGUGACCCAAGAAGGCAAUUAGAGAACCUAGGAAGUCAUUAUUCUAGAGCCCCUCAACCUAGGAGGUUCCUUCUAGCCCAUGCAAAAAAAAAUUGGUUUAAGAUGGCUACUAGAAAAGAACACAUCUUUGCUAGGAAAUUAUAGGACAUCAUGGGCAUCGAUCCCCAAGUUACAUGUCAUCGACUCAACAUAAACCCUAGUGGUUAGGUCCUUAAAGACAUUAGAUUGUGAAUGAAAAGGUAUCUAGGCUCUUAGAUGCUAGAUUUGGUCAUCUAGGUCUUCUAACAACAAAUAGAAGUCAGUAUGCUAGUUUACAUUAAUAACAUGUUAGUAACAAGUAAGAAGAGGAAUGAGUACUUGAUCGACCUCCUAAGAACAUUUCAAACUCUUCGAAAAUACUAAAUGAAGCUAAAUUAGUGAAGUGCACCUUUAAUGUAGGGUGUGGAAGUACUUGGUUACAUACAAAGGAAUAAAAGCUAACCCAUACCAAAUAAAAUCAACUUUGGAGAUACCAAUGACCAAAAGGGCUAGAAAAGUCCAACAGUUCACUAACAAGAUUGGUUCUUGAAAUAGAUUUAUAUAUUGAACAACAAAUAUAUGUCAUCCUUUCUUUGACAUUAGCAAGAAGGGAAAAUGGACUAAAGGAACCAAAAAAUGCAACUAAGCUUAUGAAUCACUAAAGCAUUACAUCAUGCUAACCCCCAUUCUGGAUAAACCCUAGGAUAAGGAGGUCUUACAAGGUCUCAAUAGCAGUAGUAAGUGGAGUGUUAUCUCAAAAAAAAUGAAAAGAGGAGCAACCAAUAUACUAUGUUUAAAAGACUCUCUUAGAUGUGGAAACCUGAGAUAUAUAUAUAAAUAUUGAAAAACUGGUGCUUGCCUUUUAGAUCGCCACAUUGAAGCUUCAAUGUUACUUCCAAGCGCAUGUUAUUAAGGUAAGGACUAAGCGAUAAGAACUCAAACUUAAUACUUUAAUGGCUUUAAAGAGCCCACUUUAGUGUGUUUGAGGUACUAAAAAAUUAACCGAAUGUUUUGUUUUUUUAUAAUACCUUAGAAAAUUAUGUUUGAUGCAUUCUACGACCAUUCUACAUGCUUUAAGGUGUUUUCUUGUUAGGAUAGAAUCCUUAAAAGCAUGACAUGAUGUAAUAAAUUUGGAAUUCAUUAUUUAUUUAAUGAUGUUCUAGUUUCACAUUUAUUUAUCCUUAUUCCAUGAAUUGUUCUUUAUGAGCAUUCUUGCCUGCAUCUUUUGCAUUGUACGUGACUUAGGUGCAUUAGGAGUUGCACAAAAGAUUUAAGUCAUGGGUUUCUUGCAAAUAGAUUAUUUUUUCACAGUCAGCUCAUGAGCCUAGGCAAACCAUUAGAGGUUUUAGUGCACCACCUCCUAAUUUGAGGGAUGGUUAGUCUUGGCUAUGGGAUGAGUUUCCCAUGAUAAGUGCACUAGUGUGUAUGAUUGCACGUUAGAUGGGACCUAUGGUGAGUUAUGACUGAAGCCUAUGAAGUAGUCAUGACUCCACCAAGCUGCUUCAUUGUAUUAUCUCUCAACCUUGAGAGAAUAUUAAGUUUGUGCUGAAGUUAAUAGUGGCUUUGACUUAUAGGUGAGGUCAUAAGCGGAUCAUAUAUUCCCUAUGGAUUGGGUCAAUGUUGAUGGAAGUCGGUAGCAAUAGGUAUUCUUAAUAAAGGCACCAUGAUAUCUCUUAGGAUUGAGACAAUGUGUCCCCUUGGGUGAUCCUAAGGAGGUGUGUUCAUGGAAACUACGGCUAUAAUAGUUCCUUAAGUGGAAUUUGACAUAGACUCUUUAAGAUCUAAGCUAUGUUAAUUGAACACACAAUAGGAAGAUCUGUAGCUCAAGGAUGGUAGAAGUAGUCUUGAAAGGCUGAUAGCUUUCACCUUGUUAGACUACGG